rnacentral:rRNA from 1 species
UACAGAGGGGGCAAGCGUUGUUCGGAAUUACUGGGCGUAAAGGGCGCGUAGGCGGUUUCGUAAGUCCUGUGUGAAAUCCCCCGGCUCAACUGGGGAACUGCACAGGAAACUGCGAGGCUUGAGUUCGGGAGAGGGAAGUGGAAUUCCGGGUGUAGCGGUGAAAUGCGUAGAUAUCCGGAGGAACACCGGUGGCGAAGGCGGCUUCCUGGACCGACACUGACGCUGAGGAGCGAAAGCCAGGGGAGCGAACGGG